CCGUGCUAGCCGGGGAGUUAGCGGUGCCCUGUACCUGCAAUCCGCUACAGCAGGGGCGAUGCCUGCCCGAGGCAGUAUUUUUUAGGGUCUGGCUUUUGCAAGUGGCGAUGAGAAUCGGGUCUUGCGCAACAGAAGUUUGUGAACCGUGUCAGGUCCGGAAGGAAGCAGCACUAAGCAAAUAUCUCUGUGUGCCGCGAGGUAGCCUAAUUUGAGCUAACUGCAAAAGUAACGCCUGGGGAGCGCUGUCGACGGCAGGUGCACGG
rnacentral:SRP_RNA from 1 species